UCCCAGUUAGUACAAUGGUCAGUAUACGGCUUUUUCACAGCUGAGAUCGGGGUUCGAUUCCCCGGCCGGGAA
rfam:Pseudozyma hubeiensis SY62 DNA, scaffold: PHS7.